AUUGAACGCUGGCGGCAUGCCUUACACAUGCAAGUCGAACGGCAGCACGGGGGCAACCCUGGUGGCGAGUGGCGAACGGGUGAGUAAUGCAUCGGAACGUGCCCAGUAGUGGGGGAUAACCCGGCGAAAGCCGGGCUAAUACCGCAUACGACCUAAGGGUGAAAGCGGGGGACCGUAAGGCCUCGCGCUAUUGGAGCGGCCGAUGUCUGAUUAGCUAGUUGGCGGGGUAAAAGCCCACCAAGGCGACGAUCAGUAGCUGGUCGGAGAGGACGACCAGCCAGACUGGGACUGAGACACGGCCGAGACUCCUACGGGAGGCAGCAGUGGGGAAUUUUGGACAAUGGGCGCAAGCCUGAUCCAGCCAUGCCGCGUGCGGGAAGAAGGCCUUCGGGUUGUAAACCGCUUUUGGCAGGAACGAAACGGCGCAAGCCAAUACCUUGCGCUAAUGACGGUACCUGCAGAAUAAGCACCGGCUAACUACGUGCCAGCCGCCGCCGUAAAAC
rnacentral:rRNA from 1 species